rnacentral:rRNA from 1 species
GAUGAACGCUGGCGGCGUGCCUAAUACAUGCAAGUCGAGCGAACAGACGAGGAGCUUGCUCCUUUGACGUUAGCGGCGGACGGGUGAGUAACACGUAGGUAACCUACCUAUAAGACUGGGAUAACUUCGGGAAACCGGAGCUAAUACCGGAUAAUAUUUCGAACCGCAUGGUUCGAUAGUGAAAGAUGGCUUUGCUAUCACUUAUAGAUGGACCUGCGCCGUAUUAGCUAGUUGGUAAGGUAACGGCUUACCAAGGCAACGAUACGUAGCCGACCUGAGAGGGUGAUCGGCCACACUGGAACUGAGACACGGUCCAGACUCCUACGGGAGGCAGCAGUAGGAAAUCUUCCGCAAUGGGCGAAAGCCUGACGGAGCAACGCCGCGUGAGUGAUGAAGGUCUUCGGAUCGUAAAACUCUGUUAUUAGGGAAGAACAAACGUGUAAGUAACUGUGCACGUCUUGACGGUACCUAAUCAGAAAGCCACGGCUAACUACGU